CAAUAAUGAAAUAAACACAACAAAAACUGACAGUGGUGAGAAAGCAGCAGUUAAGAAAGCAUCUGCUUACAGCGAUGUGGAUGUUUUUUCGGUACUCCAGUAAAGUCCAGUCACGUCACGUUUAUUUAUAUAGUAGCCUACUUUAUGCAAUAGAUAGCCUUAAUCAAGCAGCUCUACAGUAUUAAACAUGAAAACCCAGAGUCAGAGUCGCUUUCGGUUAGAAUCACUACUUGAUUUUGUGUUAUAAAGCAGCUCCCAAGUGUGGACCUAGCUAGUGAUAAAAUCUUUUUAUUUGUUGGGAGAAAAAAAAAAAAAAAAAGGAAAAAAUAAUUAAAGUGAUAGUUUGGUUUUCAGAGAUAAAAGCUUGAUCUAGCUCAGGACUGUUUUGAUUACCUGUAAUUACCUUAAUUUAUUUGUUAGAAUAUGUACAACUCAAUAUUUUAUCUAAUUGCAAAAUGAUUAAUCUAUUGAUUAAUCAAUGAAAUAAUUGACAAUUAGUUAUAUAUAUUUUACAUAAUUUGUUAAAUUAUAUUAUAUUAUAUUAUAUUAUAUUAUAUUAUAUUAUAUUAUAUUAUAUUAUAUUAUAUUAUAUUAUAUUAUAUUAUUGCAAUUUCAGGGGUAUUUUUAUCAUCCUUGGUGGCAUUUUUUUUUCUUUUAUUGAUCUCUGUGCUAAUUUCUUUUUAUUUAUGUUUUAAUUUUAUUUAUUUAUUAAUUUUACAGACUGCCACAGUUAUAAAACAUGACCAUUUGUCUGUGUGUGCAUGAGAGAGAGAAAGAGAGAGAGAGGAGAGAGGGAGAGAGUGAGAGAGAGACAGAGACAGAGGUGUAAUGUGGAAUGCCACAUAUUGUUAGAUUGUGUUUCAUUAAGCUGAGGUCUGAAUGUAGAAGUGUUCAGUGUAAACAUCUGAAAAUGACUGGGAGGGACAGAAGAGGAGUGUGUGUGUGUUGUGCUGAGAUGAGAUGAGUUUAUGUGUGCAGGGCAUCAGAGCGUGAAGCCUGACGACUCCGGUCCACCUUCCCAUAAAUCACAGCGGUUUUAAUCAUACCUGCCACCUCCACACUCACCACCCCUCUCUCUCUCUCUCUCUCUCUCUCUCUCUCUCUCUCUCUCUCUCUUUGAAUUAUCUAGGAGGUUCUUGUAGCUUUUUAUUUAUUUAUCUGGGCUUCAUGUACAGCAUGCACGUAUAUUCCUGUGAGAGCGACUGAAGGAUAGAGAGAGAUUGUGACGGUAUGAAAAUAGCGUGUGAGGUGUUUUCUCUGAGGACGGAGAGCUCAUCUACUCUAGCAUGACUGAUAUCAGGCAGCUCAAUCCAGCCUUAAGAUGCUCUGUGGUGUUUUAUGGUUUUAUAAGCCAGCAAAACCAGCCCACACCUUAAACACC
ensembl:lncRNA